UUUAUGUAUAAAGAUAAUAGACUUGAUUUUCUACACAUAUGUGAAAUAUGAAAAAAAUUUAAUAAUUUAAAAAGGAGAUAUUGGUACUGGAAGUUUAACAUUUAGAUUGGAGUAGGAAGCCAACCAAUAUCCAAGCGGAUUUUAGGAUUUUUCUUCUAUUUGGUAUGUGCGAUUAUCUUUAAAUUUUGUAUGCUUGUUAUUAAUUUAGUUUUUGAAAAGUGUAUAAAAUUUUAAUGAAGAUCAAUAAUUUAAUCAAUAGAUAUUGAGGUUCUAAAUUGUGUUAGGGUUAGAUUAAAUUUGUUAGGUUUUGGUUAGGAUCUGAUUUAGAAUUUAGGAUUUGUUUAGGAUUUGAUUUAGAAUUUAGGAUUUGUGUAGGGUUUAAUUUAGGAUUUAGAAAUUAUUUAAAAUUUGAUUUAAGAUUUAGGAUUUUUUAAGAAUUUGAUUUAGGAUUUAGGAUUUGUUUAGGAUUUGAUUUAGGAUUUAGGAUUUAUUUAGGAUUUGAUUUAAGAUUUAGAAUUUAAUUAGAAUUUAGGAUUUGGCCUAUAUUUUGAUUAAAGUCCAUUAUUAUUUUAAUUAGGAUUAAAUUAGGAUUUGAUUCGGAUUUAUUUAAAAUAUAUUUUUUAUUAUUUUAAUAUUUCUUUAGAAUUUUUUAAGGAUUUUUUUAAGGUUUAUUGUGGAUUUCUUUUAAACUCUUUUUAGAUAU
rnacentral:lncRNA from 1 species